AGCUCCAAUAGCGUAUAUUAAAGUUGUUGCAGUUAAAAAGCUCGUAGUUGAAUUUCGGGGCCGUGGAAAGGUCUAGUCAAAAGCUAGACUUUUCUGUUGUCCUUACUGUCUGGCGCAAGUCAGACCUUUUACUGUGAAGAAAUUAGAGUGUUUAAAGCAGGCGUUAAUUGCUUGAAUACAUUAGCAUGGAAUAAUAAAAUAGGACUUGAGUUCUAUUUUGUUGGUUUCUAGGACUUGAGUAAUGAUGAAUAGGGACAGUUGGGGGCAUUUGUAUCCAAUAGUCAGAGGUGAAAUUCUUGGAUUUAUUGGAGACAAACUACUGCGAAAGCAUUUGCCAAGGAUGUUCUCA
rnacentral:rRNA from 1 species